AUGGCUGGAAUUUGGAUGGACAAGGCGACAGAGGACCGAAUGAAUCUAUGGCUGACCCGGGUCUUGGUCAUUGUGAGCUUCACGGCGCAUCUUACCCUGGCCCUACUAGCCGGGAUCCGCCGGCGUAGGCACUCCGGCGUGCGGAGGUCUCUGGUGUGGUUGGCGUACUACGUGACCGAGAUAGGCACACCAAUCGCCCUUACCAAGGUGUUCAUCGACACCGCGUCUGUGGAUACCGAGCAACAGCUCAAGGCGUUGGUCGCAUACAGAGAGCAGCAGAUGUUUGCGUUCUGGGCGCCAUUUCUGCUGCUCCACCUUGGUCGCCCGGACAACAUCACCAGCUACGCCUUGGAGAACAAGGGGCUGUCGCCGACCCAGAAGGCCGUUCUCAUCCUUGCAAUCGUAGGAGCCAUCUGUGGCUCAUACAAGCAAAGAUUUAUGCGCGGGGAUGGGGCUCUGCGCGCCGCAUUCUUCAUCAUGCUCUUCUUGGGUUCCUAUAAGUAUGUGGAGAGGGCAGUUGCGCUACGGCGAGCUUCCUUCGACAGCAUUCGCCGCUCAAACCGGAGGAAGAUGUUGAAGCAGUUCAGUUCUAAGGGCAAAGCCCGAAAGCAGGAUAAUGAUAACGCCCUGCUUGAUGCUCACGGCCUUCUGGGCGUCACCAUGGGUGCCUUCGCUGACUAUCAAGUCGACUGCAGGAGGUAUGUCCCAUCUUAUUCUGGUUGCAAGGAUGUGAGCAAGGUGGUUGAGAUGGAGGUGUCACUCAUGUACGACGUGUUAUACACCAAGGCAAGCGUGAUCCACACAUGGGGUGGCUACAUCAUCCGUCUGGUCUCGCCGCCCGCCACCGCCACGGCGCUCUAUCUCUUCCACAGUAAAGACGGCCAGGCGAUGGAGAGUGCAGAUCGGGCGAUCACAUACACCUUGCUUGCUGGUACCUUGUUGUUGGAUGUGAGAUGGCUGCUCAGAGCACUAGGGUCCACCUGGACCUAUGCAUUCUUGCCUGAUAGUACAGAUCAGGAGGAUGGAAGCAAACAAGGGCUGCUUCUGGGUCGCCUCCGCUGGAACCUCCUGGCCAGUUUGCUGCGGCUGGGCCGCCUCAAGAAGGCAGGUCGUCGUCGGUAUGUGAGGCAUUCAUGGUAUUGGCUCCGUCGCCUCCUGGUCUCUCUGGAUCCGUCCCGGCUCCCACUGAGAAGCGGCCCAAGUGGCUACAGGUUGUUGCCGGGCUCGGCAGUCGGACAGCACAACUUGUUGCAAGAGUGCAGUGCUCAGGGUGGACUGGAGAAGAUGAUCUCUUAUUUUUGCGCUGGACACGGGAAGAAGAAGAUUGGAAGUUAUGUGUACAUAUCUAGUGCUGGAAUUGGAGACAAUGGCUUGGAUGCGUCCCACGGGGGAAGUUGA
rnacentral:rRNA from 1 species